GGGAGUAACUAUUGGAAACGAUAGCUAAUACCGCAUAAGAGUAGAUGUUGCAUGACAUUUGCUUAAAAGGUGCAAUUGCACCACUACCAGAUGGACCUGCGUUGUAUUAGCUAGUUGGUGGGGUAACGGCUCACCAAGGCGACGAUACAUAGCCGACCUGAGAGGGUGAUCGGCCACACUGGGACUGAGACACGGCCCAG
rnacentral:rRNA from 1 species